AUACGGAGGGGGUUAGCGUUGUUCGGAAUUACUGGGCGUAAAGCGCACGUAGGCGGAUUGGAAAGUUGGGGGUGAAAUCCCAGGGCUCAACCCUGGAACUGCCUCCAAAACUAACAGUCUAGAGUUCGAGAGAGGUGAGUGGAAUUCCAAGUGUAGAGGUGAAAUUCGUAGAUAUUUGGAGGAACACCAGUGGCGAAGGCGGCUCACUGGCUCGAUACUGACGCUGAGGUGCGAAAGCGUGGGGAGCAAACAGCACUAGAUACCCUUGUAGUCC
rnacentral:rRNA from 1 species